GAUUGUCCAUGGAAAAAAGGCAAAUAGGAGACUGGCAGAGCUUGCGCCUGAAAAGGACCUCAAAAGUGGGAAGGAAACCAUUGACUGCGCACCGUAGAAAAAUUUUUGAUUUUGGGGAGCGUUUGGCAAUUAUGAAUGCGAAGCCAGACUUUAGAAUAAAUCACAUGGGAUGAGCUUGCCUUCAUCACAACCUGAUCCUUUUUAUACUCCAUGAGGUAGUAAUAUCCUGA
rnacentral:lncRNA from 1 species